AUUGAACGCUGGCGGCAGGCCUAACACAUGCAAGUCGAACGAGUGGCGGACGGGUGAGUAAUGUCUGGGAAACUGCCUGAUGGAGGGGGAUAACUACUGGAAACGGUAGCUAAUACCGUAUACCAUCAGAUGUGCCCAGAUGGGAUUAGCUGGUUGGUGGGAUGACGGCUCACCAAGGCGACGAACCCUAGCUGGUCUGAGAGGAUGACCAGCCAAACUGGAACUGUGGGACGGUCCAGACUCCCAGGGGAGGCAGCGGUGGAGAAUAGUGGAAAAUGGGCGAAAGCCUGAUGCAGCGAUGCCGCGUGUAUGAAGGAGGCCUUCGGGUUGUAAAGUACUUUCAGCGUGGAGGCGUUACCCGCAGAAGAAGCGCCGGCUAACUCCGUGCCAGCAGCCGCGGUAAUUC
rnacentral:rRNA from 1 species